rnacentral:lncRNA from 1 species
AGGCCCUCUCCUAGUCAAACUCAGGGAGAGAGGAAAAACAAAAGAGGUAAACUUGAGUUAAAUGGACACAUGACCAAAGUACCAAACAAGACGCUCAUACACUUAACGCCCAACUUUUUUGCAGCUACUAUCUUUUACUGACUACAAGUUUCAUACAGGCUCUAGGGCAAAGAGUUCAAAAAUCAGUCUUUCUUUUCCAGCAACUUCAGUAAGGACAAUAGACGAUGACUAGAAUUCCAAGCACACUCUCACUUGCAUCAGACAUCUUAAUUUGGGGAUACUAAUUGGAGAGAAAAGUUACGACACCUAGUAACUUGUCUCUCCAUGACCACAACAAUCCAGAGAAACAGCUAUAGAAACAGGACAACAGAAGAAAUAGUUUGACUCUCUUCUCCACAACAAUGAAUAAAUCCAACACAACCAAAGCAGAAUAUCAUGAAUUAACAUAAACUGAUUUCUUGACUUGGUAGUACAAGAAGAAUCAAGCACAAUCCCUUGUUUUUCUUUUCGGUAAUCCUGGUUCUUCUAGAGAUUAUAUCUGUUUUACACCAGGAAACCCGCCGACUUAACAUUGUUCCUCCAUUAAGAUCACUGAGAAAUUGAUUCAAUGGACUUGUUAGUCAAAGAAUAAUAUGAAACAACUCCUAUAUUAUUACGAUACUGAAAUUUCAGCAUAUGUUUUCAAAUAUUUUCCAACCGCAUCUCUUUGAAACUACUCCUUCAGUAGCUCUAUCCAGUAGGUGAACUUGUUAAACGCUUCCCUGGAGGAGAACAGAAAUAAGCUUUUUAUGUCAUUUAGUUAGACUAUAGACUACAGUGAUAAAACAUAUAUAGCUAUGACCAGCGAACAGUUUAAUACUUUAAUUGAGAUACCUACAAUUCAUGAGCUAUAUAAGAUCAUAGAGGAAAAUGUCUAAACAAAUUUGUAACAGUGGGUCAAUUUAACAAAAUAAUAAGAAAAUUUCUCCGCUAGGUUAUAGGUUGUCAAAAUGCACGUGUUUGAUCAAGACAAAGCAAUUAUAGAUAAAGAUCAUGUUUACUACAACUUCAAGAACAUCCCAGACAUAUCAUGUCAGUAACCAGUGGAAACUCACUCUGCAAACAAAAGCUGCUGCAGCUAAGUCUGAAAAGAUAUCUAGUUAAUCAAAGUCUAUUUGCAUUAUCAAUAUCAAUAUCAAAAUCACUCUGAAAUGUGGCACUGUACCUUUGAUCGAAACCACUUUGUUCUUUCAUAAGGCAGUGAUCCCUGUGGAUAUUCGUAACCCAAAUGAGAGAAGUCCUCCUGAGGGAAGCUUUUACAUAAUUAGGUGCUGUUUGUUCAACUCGUUUUGCGAAGCAAUACGUCAGCAUCUUGCAGAGGAAACAAUUAAGAUCCAGACUCAUUCAGGAGUGGACCUAUUAUAAGGCAAAACAGCUUUUUGCUUCUAGGGCAACAGUAGAGGCUUAGCAACUUUGUCUGAGAUGCAAUGUAGAAUAUGAUGCAUGAUCAAUUCCCUUGAUGAUAACUCUUCUCUGCCAGAAAUGAAAAUGAGAAAAAUGAAGAAUACAGGUGUAUCUUGUUCAAAAAUUGGGAUCAUAACGGAAGGAUGAUUAAUAAAUCAAUUAAGGCCAUCAAUACAUCGAAUACUGAAAACUCAAAAUCCAAGCAAAUAGCAGCUAAAAUUUUACCACUAGCAGCUGAUAGUCAUGCCAACAAGAAUUUUCCCCAUAUCGGUCAAUGUACAACUUUGCCUCUAUCAUAAUAUGAACUUUUCCAGCUGCAUCAACUAUCUGUGUGAGUGAAUGGAUUUAGCAACAUGUCUGCAUGCUUUGGCUCAGUUACUGCAAGAUAUGUGCAGCCAUUUCUUCCCUAGAAUCCUAUAUGAAGAUAAAGUUAUUAACUCCAAAUCACCGGUGACAGGUAAAGAUAGAAAAUUAACAUUCUUAAAUGAAACACAAAAUUUCAUUACAGAAGAUAUAAAGUAAUGUUAUGCCUGCUAUCAGGAUAAAAUUCACGAAAAUAAUGCCAUUGGCCACGUACUAGCUAUAUGUGAAGAAAGAGAGGGAAGAACAAUAGGAGAAAGAACAAAUAGAUAAAGUGCCCACAUUGUACUCUCCUUUCAGCCAAAAACAUGUCAAUCUAAACUCGUAUCCCUGGGACAAGAACAAAUUUCAUGGCCAAGGCAUGAGGAUACAGAUAUCCUGCAUGAGUUAUAAGUACUAAGUAGAUUGCGAUAUUCUACAGAACAUUUAUUCUGGCACCAUUGAGAAUAAUAGGAAUAUAGGAUACCUCAGAUACCUUCAACAAGUCACAAAUUUGUAGAAUUCAUUCAUCAUGGAAAAAACAAAAUGAAACUCUUCUCAGUUACAGUAUCAGCAUGCAGAUUAAUGGAAAGACCAGUUUAGUAGAAACGUGUCAUGAGAAGCGGAUCCUAAUGAGGUCAAUC